rnacentral:rRNA from 1 species
AUCAAGUGCAUAUGGUGGAUGCCUUGGCAGAAUGUGCCGAUGAAGGACGUCGCAGCCUGCGAUAAGCCUCGGGGAGGUGGCAAGCAACCUUUGAUCCGGGGAUUUCCGAAUGGAGCAAUCCCAUGCGGGGAAUGCCGCAUGAUCCCGUACUGAAUACAUAGGUCCGGGAAGGGCACCUGGGGAAGUGAAACAUCUCAGUACCCAGAGGAAAAGAAAAAGAUCGUUCGUUUUACGUUCGUGUGCACAACAUGUAGCACGCGAACGAAAAGCGAGCACAUUCCCUAAGUAGCGGCGAGCGAAAAGGGAAGAGCCUAAACCUUACAGAUGAAGCUAUGGUGUUUAUGUGGACUUCGGUUUGCAUAGCGCGGUAGUGAAAGAUGGAAGUCGUUGUCUGUAAGGGGUUGUAAGUUGAUCAUGUCGUCUGCUUCCAAAGACGGGUGAUGAUAAUUGUAUGACCUAUAACAGAAGUUGCUGGAAAGCAACGCCAUAGAGGGUGAUAGCCCCGUACGUGAAAUAGGUUUAUACCAUCACGAUGAUUUUCUUGAGUACCACGAGACUCGUGAAAUCUUGUGGGAAUCUGCCGCGACUAUGUGGCAAGGCUAAACACACAUUCUGACCGAUAGUGAACAAGUACCGUGAGGGAAAGGUGAAAAGCACCCCGGUGAGGGGAAUGAAAUAGUAUCUGAAACCGUAUGCUUACAAGGAGUCAGAGCCCUGCCUUCGGGUGGGGUGAUGGCGUUCCUAUUGAAGAAUGAGCCAACGAGUGUGCUNNNNNNNNGGAGCCGAAGUGAAAGCGAGCGUUAAUCCGCGUAUUGUGAUUUUGUUCGAUCUGUUUGAGCAAUCGAACUUUUCGAACAUGAUCACAUGGUGGCACGUACACGACCCGAAACCGGGUGACCUANNAUCGAACUCGGUAAUAGCUGGUUCUCCCCGAGAUAUGUUUUGGCAUAGCGUCAGUAAAUACAUGAGUGGGGGUAGAGCACUGGAUGGGACCGCCGCCUUCGGGUAGGGGUCCUAACCAAACUCCGAAUACCAUUCGUGGUUCCUGACAGUCAGACGAUGGGGGCUAAGCUCCAUUCGUCGAAAGGGAAACAGCCCAGAUCUCCAACUAAGGUCCCUAAAUCAUCAUUAAGUGUAAAAGGUAGUGAAGAGGCUUAUACAACCAGGAGGUUGGCUUAGAAGCAGCCAUCCUUUAAAGAUAGCGUAACAGCUCACUGGUCAAGCUUUUUUGCGCCGAAAAUGUACCGGGGCUAAAUGAUGUACCGAAGUUGAGGACACCUUCCAUCUCGGAAGUCUGUGGUAGGGGAGCAUUCACAUGGCGUUGAAGUCGUGUCGUGAGGCACGGUGGAGCAGUGUGAAGUGAGAAUGUUGGCAUAAGUAGCAAAAAGACAGGUGAAAGUCCUGUCCGCCGUAAACCUAAGGUUUCCUGGGCAACGCGAAUCGACCCAGGGUUAGUCGGGAGCUAAGGCGAGGCCGAAAGGCGUAGUCGAUGCACAGCAGGUUAAUAUUCCUGCACUUCGUUAUUCACUGAUGCGGGGACGCUUCUUGUCGUUUCCUGCGUUCUAUGGCUAUGACGCUGGGGGUGUUUCGGUGAUGGGUAGGCAAAUCCGCUCAUCAUAAGCCGAUGACAUCAUCGCGAGUCUGCCGUAAGGCGGACAAGAGGAAAUUAAAAGGAGCCAAGAAAAGCCGCUAAGGUUAAUGAAUAAUGAACCCGUACCGUAAACCGACUCAGGUGGGUGGGCAUAAAUGUGCUCAGGCGUACGAGAGAACCUUCGUUAAGUAACUCGGCAAAACAGUGGCCGUAACUUCGGGAUAAGGCCUGGUUGUCCUUGUGAGAGGGCGACCCACAGCAAACGACUCCAACCGACUGUUUACCAAAAACACAGGUCCCUGCUAAACCGUAAGGUGAUGUAUAGGGGCUGAUGCCUGGCCAGUGUCCGAACGUUAAGGAAGGGGGUCAUCCUGCCGCAAGGCAGGGGAAGCUUCCGACUGAAGCGCGGAUGAACGCCGGCGAUAACUAUAAUCGUCCUAAGGUAGCGAAAUUCCUUGUCGGGCGAGUUCCGACCUGCACGAAUGGC